ACGCGCGGAACCUUACCUGGGCUAGAAUGUAGUCUGACCGUGGGUGAAAGCUCAUUUUGUAGCAAUACACAGAUUAUAAGGUGCUGCAUGGCUGUCGUCAGCUCGUGCCGUGAGGUGUUGGGUUAAGUCCCCGCAACGAGCGCAACCCCCCAUCAGUAGUUGCCAUCAGGUAACGCUGGGAACUCUACUGAAACUGCCGUCGUAAGACGCGAGGAAGGAGGGGAUGAUGUCAAGUCAUCAUGGCCUUUAU
rnacentral:rRNA from 1 species